AUGAACGCUGGCGGCGUGCCUCAUCCAUGCAAGUCGCGCGAACGGACGAGAAGCUUGCUUUUCUGAUGUUAGCGGCGGACGGGUGAGUAACACGUGGAUAACCUACCUAUAAGACUGGGAUAACUUCGGGAAACCGGAGCUAAUACCGGAUAAUAUUUUGAACCGCAUGGUUCAAAAGUGAAAGACGGUCUUGCUGUCACUUAUAGAUGGAUCCGCGCUGCAUUAGCUAGUUGGUAAGGUAACGGCUUACCAAGGCAACGAUGCAUAGCCGACCUGAGAGGGUGAUCGGCCACACUGGAACUGAGACACGGUCCAGACUCCUACGGGAGGCAGCAGUAGGGAAUCUUCCGCAAUGGGCGAAAGCCUGACGGAGCAACGCCGCGUGAGUGAUGAAGGUCUUCGGAUCGUAAAACUCUGUUAUUAGGGAAGAACAUAUGUGUAAGUAACUGUGCACAUCUUGACGGUACCUAAUCAGAAAGCCACGGCUAACUACGUG
rnacentral:rRNA from 1 species